rnacentral:ncRNA from 2 species
CUGGCCAAGACCUAUAACGCCUACAAUGCAUGUGUCCUAAGAUGAGCUCAACGAGAACAUAAAUCUCGUAUGGACCAAAAAGGUAAAACCUCGUAUGAUUCUGAUUAACAGUACAAAUACGAACCGUGAAAGCGUGGCCUAACAAUUCUUUAGACCUUCAAAAUUUGAAACUAGAU